GCAGUCGUAACAUGGUACCCGUACGGGUGGGGAUUAGUGGCGAACGGGUGAGUAACACGUGGGCAAUCUGCCCUCCACUUCGGGACAAGCCCUGGAAACGGGGUCUAAUACCGGAUACCCGGCCCCGCCCGCAUGGGCGGAGCCGGAAAGCUCCGGCGGUGGAGGAUGAGCCCGCGGCCUAUCAGCUGGUUGGUGAGGUAACGGCUCACCAAGGCGACGACGGGUAGCCGGCCUGAGAGGGCGACCGGCCACACUGGGACUGAGACACGGCCCACACUCCUACGGGAGGCAGCAGUGGGGAAUAUUGCACAAUGGGCGCAAGCCUGAUGCAGCGACCCCGCGUGAGGGACGACGGCCUUCGGGUUGUAAACCUCUUUCAGCAGGGAAGAAGCGCAAGUGACGGUACCUGCAAAAGAAGCGCCGGCUAACUACGUGCCAGCACCCGCGGUAAUACGUAGGGCGCGAGCGUUGUCCGGAAUUAUUGGGCGUAAAGAGCUCGUAGGCGGCCUGUCGCGUCGGUUGUGAAAGCCCGGGGCUCAACCCCGGGUCUGCAGUCGAUACGGGCAGGCUAGAGUUCGGUAGGGGAGAUCGGAAUUCCUGGUGUAGCGGUGAAAUGCACAUAUAUCAAGAGGAACACCGGUGGCGAAGGCGGAUCUCUGGGCCGAUACUGACGCUGAAGAGCGAAAGCGUGGGGAGCGAACAGGAUUAGAUACCCUGGUAGUCCACGCCGUAGACGGUGGGCACUAGGUGUGGGCGACAU
rnacentral:rRNA from 1 species